rnacentral:lncRNA from 1 species
CUUUCAAGGCUCAAGAGACCAAGGCUAAGGUCAAGAUCCAAAGUCUAUGAGAUUGUCAUGGGAUUUCUAAGGCUAGUUUGGGCCCUAGAACGAAAGGCUGUCAGCCUUUCGGGUCUUGAGGUCCAAAAAUUUUAGGCCUUGAGGGGCUAACAUAUAUUUAAACUAAGAUUGAGUCUAAGAUUAUGAGAUUGGGUCAAGUCAUGGGUGUACAU